ensembl:snRNA U1 U1 spliceosomal RNA
AUACUUACCUGGCAGGGGAGAUAGCAUGAUCACGAAGGUGGUUUUCCCAGGGUGAGGCUCAUCCAUUGCACUGCAAGUGUGCUGACCCCUGCGAUUUCCCCAAAUGUAGGAAACUCGACUGCAUAAUUUGUGGAACUCAAAUGA